CAUCUGCGGCAGAGAAUUAUGGCGAUUCUGAGGCAUAGAAAUAUCGCUGUAUUUGGCACAACUUUCCUAGGCAUUUGUACUCUUCGCUAAGCAAAACCCUUGUUUCAAGCCAAGCAUCCAUAGCGACUUGCUUUUUGAUCUUUCGAUGACGGUUCUUCCUAUCAUUGUGAAGCAGACUUCGCCAAGUGUUGGAUUGUUCAACCACCAAUAGAAAAAGUGAGCUUAGUUUAGAUCGUCGUGAGUCAGAUUAAUUUUACCCUAAUGUGAUAUGUUGUUGCAAUAGUAAUCCUGCUCAGCACGAGAGAAAAAACAGGUUCAGACAUUUGAAUCAUUUGCUUGGCCGAUCGGCCAAUGACACGAAGCUAUCAUCUAAGGGAUUAUAGAAUCUCACCUAGACAAGGCAACGAAAAUUUGCUACCCGAUGUCGGGAGGUACUAUUAUGUAAUUAAUGAUUUAUUCGUUUUAUUACAGCUAAUGCCUGAUUAUAUGGUCUUGCUACUCCAUUGAAUGGUUAAAUGGUUGCAAAAAUCGGAUUAUUAUGGUACAAUGUCGGAGCGCAAAAUCACUUGCAGAUGACUUGUUUACUGGUCGAGUAAAGCAGCCUCUACACCGCGAUCUGUUGCGAUCUGUUGCGAUUUAUCCUUGGAUUGAACGAUUU
rfam:Onchocerca flexuosa genome assembly, scaffold: OFLC_scaffold0002988